GUGCCAGCCGCCGCGGUAAUACCGGCAGCACGAGUGAUGGCCGAUUUUAUUGGGCCUAAAGCGUCCGUAGCUUGCUGUGUAAGUCCAUUGGGAAAUCCACGCGCUCAACGCGUGGGCGUCCGGUGGAAACUGCACGGCUUGGGGCCGAGAGACUCGACGGGUACGUCCGGGGUAGGAGUGAAAUCCUAUAAUCCUGGACGGACCACCAAUGGGGAAACCACGUCGAGAGACCGGACCCGACAGUGAGGGACGAAAGCCAGGGUCUCGAACCGGAUUAGAAACCCGAGUAGUCC
rnacentral:rRNA from 1 species